rnacentral:rRNA from 1 species
UACGUAGGUGGCAAGCGUUGUCCGGAUUUACUGGGCGUAAAGAGCGCGCAGGCGGUCGUUCAAGUCGCGUGUGAAAGCCCCCGGCUCAACUGGGGAGGGUCACGCGAUACUGAUCGACUGGAAGGCAGGAGAGGGUAGUGGAAUUCCCGGUGUAGUGGUGAAAUGCGUAGAGAUCCGGAGGAACCCCAGAGGCGAAGGCGGCAGCCUGGUUGGUAUCUGACGCUCGGACACGACAGCAUGGGGAGCGAACGGG